ACCCAAGAACUUCCUCUGGGUCUCUCUCACUUGAAACCGGAAAAACCUCUCUCACACCCAUUUUAGAGACCACUCAAAAUCUCUCAUACUCACCAAACCACCAUGUUUGUGAAGGAAAUUCUAUCGAAUUUGGCUUGGAUUCUUCAAGCUCGGAGAAUUGUUGUCGGAGAUGUGAUUCUCGCUAAUACAUCUUGUUAGGAACUAGACGAAUAUGCAGCUAGAAUGGAUGCUUUCAUGGGGGAACAACAAUGGUCUUGGGAGUUUUUUGAUGCCGUGUGCAAGGACUUCAACUUGGUCGUAGGGAAAUAUCAGAAAUACUCCAAGGCUAAGAGGAUUUUACGCCAAAAUCAGAGAGCUUUUGCUACUAUAUUGCGAAGCCAUCUACGUCCUAUAUCAAGAAUGCAUUUGUUGAGAACGCGGAUUGCAUGGACUAAUUUCAUUAUCAGACCGGCCGGAGAGAGGAUGGUGAGUGCAAGGGCUUCGUUUGCAAGAUCGGUGCAAAGACUUUUUUAGAGUGCUGUGGCUUUUCAACACUGUUAUAAUAAUGGCGAUGAGAUAUUCAUCGACAUCUUCCCCUCGAGCCAAUUUUCAGCUUUAGAGGUGGUGCAUCGCUUAUUUCCAUUUCAGAACACUAUUGCUUUGGUUUGUUCAAGUUUGCAUGCUCCUUUCAUCCACACGAGAGCCAGUGAGAUGCAUAUGCCAAUUCACCUAUUUUUUAAUAAAAGAUAGACUCUGCCAGUUGGUCUCAGGGUAAAAUUUUCCCUCCUUAAACUUUGGUUUGGAUUUUCUUUUCCUGGGCAUUUGUCAAUAGUGUGUAAUUUUGAAUUAUCUUUUCAUUCCA